AUCGAUUCUCGGACCCUUUGGCUACGAUCAAAGUAGGAAUCUGUUCUUAUCAGUUUAAUAUCUGAACGUCCCGACCCGGACUACAAUAUAAAUUGAUGUUGAUCACGGAGCUUGGACCGGGCUUGCUCGUCCACUCCACGCAUCGCCUGGAUUGCAGGUCUCCAGGACGUGGUGCUUCCCUU